AGUGAACGCUGGCGGUAGGCCUAACACAUGCAAGUCGAACGGCAGCACAGUAAGAGCUUGCUCUUACGGGUGGCGAGUGGCGGACGGGUAAGGAAUACAUCGGAAUCUACUUUUUCGUGGGGGGUAACGUAGGGAAACUUACGCUAAUACCGCAUACGACCUACGGGUGAAAGCAGGGGAUCUUCGGACCUUGCGCGAUUGAAUGAGCCGAUGUCGGAUUAGCUAGUUGGCGGGGUAAAGGCCCACCAAGGCGACGAUCCGUAGCUGGUCUGAGAGGAUGAUCAGCCACACUGGAACUGAGACACGGUCCAGACUCCUACGGGAGGCAGCAGUGGGGAAUAUUGGACAAUGGGCGCAAGCCUGAUCCAGCCAUACCGCGUGGGUGAAGAAGGCCUUCGGGUUGUAAAGCCCUUUUGUUGGGAAAGAAAAGCAGCAGGUUAAUACCCCGCUGUUCUGACGGUACCCAAAGAAUAAGCACCGGCUAACUUCGU
rnacentral:rRNA from 1 species